rnacentral:rRNA from 1 species
GGUAGGGGUUCUUAGUGGAAGGUCCCCCACACUGGCACUGAGAUACGGGCCAGACUCCUACAGGAGGCAACAAUGAGGAAUAUUGGACAAUGGGUGCAACCCUGAACCAUCCAUGCCGCGUGAAAGAUUAAGGCCCUCUGAUUUGUAAACUGCUUUUGUAUAGAAACAAAAAACCUUCUGCGGAGGUUCUUGAGGGUACUAUAAGAAUAAGCACCGGCUAAUUCCAUGCCAGCAGCCGCGGUAAUACGGAAGGUGCAAGCGUUAUCCGGUUUUAUUGGGUUUAAAGGGUGCGUANGCGGUUUAUUAAGUCAGUUGUGAAAUCCUAGUGCUUAACGCUAGAACUGCAAUUGAUACUGGUAGACUUGAAUUAAGAAGAGGUAAGUAAAAUUUAUGGUGUAUUAGUGAAAUGCUUAAAUAUCAUAAGGAAUACCAAUAGCGUACGCACCUUACUGGUCUUUAACUGACGCUGAAACACGAAAGCGUGGGGAGCAA